AUAUAUAUGAUGAUUUUUAAAAAAAAUUUGAAAAAGAAGAAGAAGAUUUUUUAAAAGAUAGAAAGAUGAUUAUAGAAAAAAUGAUUUCUAAAACCUAUGACAAAAUAAGAAUCUAUAAAGAAAAAAAGAUGCAGUGAUUUUCUUAUGGGUUGGCUAAUUUUAUAGCCAUAAACUAAUUGCAUUUUCAGUUUUUCCCCCUAUACUUUUUGCUCCUGAAAUUUCUACCAUAAACUUUGAUAAUUCUUUAAAUUACAACAUGUACUUUCAGAUUCAUCCUUAAAAAUACAUUUCAAAUUGAACCGAUCAUUAAACCGGGAUUAACCACAAAUCCGCGUUUACUGUACCGCGAUUGCGAUAUACCAGAUUAAUCACCUAUAUCCGUUAAGAAAAGGGUUGACUGAUUUUAUAGCUAUAAACUAAUUGCAUUUUCAGCUUUCCCCCCAACACUUUUUACUCCUAAAAUUUCCACCAUAAACUUUGUUAAUUCUUAAA
rnacentral:sRNA from 1 species